GACGAACCGUGCGAACGUUUUUCGGAAUCACUGGGCUUAAAGGGCGCGUAGGCGGGUUCCCAAGUCCGGGGUGAAAUCUUUCGGCUCAACCGGAAAAUAGCCUUGGAUACUGGGAGUCUCGAGGGAGGUAGGGGCAGCGGGAACUUCCGGUGGAGCGGUGAAAUGCGUUGAUAUCGGAAGGAACGCCGGUGGCGAAAGCGCGCUGCUGGACCUCUGCUGACGCUGAGGCGCGAAAGCCAGGGGAGCAAACGGG
rnacentral:rRNA from 1 species